rnacentral:rRNA from 1 species
UAGAUGUUUGAACUGAAGAGUUUGAUCAUGGCUCAGAUUGAACGCUGGCGGCAGGCCUAACA